rnacentral:rRNA from 1 species
GUGGAUUAGAUACCCUGGUAGUCCACGCCGUAAACGAUGAUAACUAGCUGUCCGGGCACUUGGUGCUUGGGUGGCGCAGCUAACGCAUUAAGUUAUCCGCCUGGGGAGUACGGUCGCAAGAUUAAAACUCAAAGGAAUUGACGGGGGCCUGCACAAGCGGUGGAGCAUGUGGUUUAAUUCGAAGCAACGCGCAGAACCUUACCAGCCUUUGACAUCCUGGUCGCGGAUUAGAGAGAUCUUUUCCUUCAGUUCGGCUGGACCAGUGACAGGUGCUGCAUGGUCGUCGCCAACU